AUCCCAUGAUGAUGACACUCGAGUACGUAAUCUUUAAAGUGCUCCCAAGCUUUUGGGACUGUCUCAUCAUGUUGUUGCUAAAAACUUGAUAUUUUCCCACGAAGAGC
rnacentral:snoRNA from 1 species